rnacentral:rRNA from 1 species
GGGCGUAAGGGAGCGUAGGCGGUUUUGUAAGUCGUGUGUGAAAUCUUCGGGCUCAACCCGAAGCCUGCACACGAAACUGCAGGGCUUGAGUAUGGGAGAGGUGAGUGGAAUUCCUGGUGUAGCGGUGAAAUGCGUAGAUAUCAGGAGGAACACCUGUGGCGAAAGCGGCUCACUGGACCAUUACUGACGCUGAGGCUCGAAAGCUAGGGGAGCAAACAGGAUUAGAUACCCUGGUAGUCCUAGCCCUAAACGAUGACUGCUUGAUGUGGCGGGUACCCAAUCCCGCCGUGUCGAAGCUAACGCGAUAAGCAGUCCGCCUGGGGAGUACGGUCGCAAGGCUGAAACUCGAAGGAAUUGACGGGGGCCCGCACAAGCGGUGGAGCAUGUGGUUUAAUUCGACGCAACGCGAAGAACCUUACCUGGGCUCGAAAUGUACAGGAAUCCGGUAGAAAUAUCGGCGCCCAGCAAUGGGCCUGUAUAUAGGUGCUGCAUGGCUGUCGUCAGCUCGUGUCGUGAGAUGUUGGGUUAAGUCCCGCAACGAGCGCAACCCUUACCUCCAGUUGCCACCAUUCAGUUGGGCACUCUGGCGGAACCGCCUCGGAUAACGGGGAGGAAGGUGGGGGAUGACGUCAAGUCCUCAUGGCCUUUAUGUCCAGGGCUACACACGUGCUACAAUGGCCGGUACAAACCGUCGCAAAGCCGCGAGGUGGAGCUAAUCGGAAAAAGCCGGCCUCAGUUCGGAUCGCAGUCUGCACUCGACUGCGUGAAGCUGGAAUCGCUAGUAAUCGUGGAUCAGAUGCCACGGUGAUACGUUCCCGGGCUUGCACUCACGCCCGUC